UCGAACCUUGCGAAAAUCCUACUAGUUUAGUUAGUUACGACUUGAAAAACCCUUCACAUCCAGCAGUUAAAAAUCUCAACUUUAACUUGCCAGAGAUUCAGAACCAACAGCCCUACGUCUCUCUCCUCUCGUUGCGUAAUUUCUAAGCUUUUCCAAGUCCAGCUUCACUUUUUCUGUACCCGAUUUCUCGAGCCGAAUUGAUUAAUGGUAUUGUGAUUUUGCGACGAAGAUGAGGUUCUCGCUCGGCCGAUUUCUAGGAUCGGGAAUCGGAUUUUCUUUUCCGGAUUUGAUUUCCACAGGCUAAAGGUGGAUUUCACGGAUCCAAAUAUUUCCCAACGAUUUAUUUUUUCUUUUCCCGUCGAAUGGAUAGGAAUGGACCUCUCUGUGUUAUCUUCCUGUUCUUGAUUGCUUCCCACUGCUCCAGUGCUUACUCUCCCUGGAAUCUCCGAAAAUUAACCGGUGCGGCGCCAACGGUUAGCUCUCCUGAAACAAAUGUUUCGCCUUUGCUUAGUCCUGUUUCGAGCAGCGGUGAUAAGGAAUCAAAAGCUAAUCCAAUUGAUGGUGGUAAGUCUAAGGAAAAAGAGCACAAGGAUUCCGAGUCAUCGAAUGGUUUGACGAAAGUAAAUCCAAAGGGAUCGAAGAGUGAUGAUUCAGAAAAUUCGUCGACUAAGGAGGUAGAGGGUGAGAAGAGUCGUGAAGAGAAAAAUGAAGGAAAAUUUGUUCCACAUUUGGCUGGUAAGGAGACUUGCGACGGAUCCACCAAUCAGUGCAGUAUCCUGGAAACUUUGACUGGUUGCAUUCAACGUUUUGAGACUGGGUCCAAAGAUUUGGUUCUUCUGAUCCAAAAUGAAGGAGAGAGCGCCGUGAAAGGGAAUAUUACUAUCUCAACGUCAUUGGGGAAGGUUAUGAAUUAUGAGAUCCCCAAGCACCAAACUGAAGGGAUCAGUGUCUCUCAGACUAUUGGUGGAAACACCCGCACCAAAAUCAUAUUGAAGUCUGGAAAUGGGGAAUGCACGCUUCAGAUGGGUCCUCAUCAAUCUAAAGGAGACUUUUUACAGCGGCUCCCUUCGUAUUAUAAGCAAUUGACCCCCAUCUAUGGUGCAUACCUUUUAUUUCUAAUAGCACUAAUUGUUGGGGGAACUUGGGCUUGCUGCAAGAUUAGGAAGAGGAAAAGGCACGACGGAGUUCCAUAUCAGGAACUUGAAAUGGGGGUGCCAGAAUCUGCUUCCGCUGUUAAUUUGGAGGCUGCAGAAGGUUGGGAUGACGGAUGGGAUGAUGACUGGGACGAGGACAAGGCAGUGAGGUCGCCAGGGGGACGUCACGUUGGCAGCAUCUCGUCAAGUGGCCUUACUGCGAGAUCUGCUAACAAAGAUGGGUGGGGAAACGAUUGGGACGAUUAGAGUUGUAGCGUUGUGAAAAGGAAACAACCAGGAUUAUCGGAGGACAUGACGCCAAGAAGCCAAGAUACAGAGAUAUAGGAGUAAUUCAAAAUUUGAGUGUAAAUUUAGUGCAAAUGCAUUUUAGGACACCACAAAAUGAAAAGGUGGACAAAGAAAAAAGGACGGAGGGAGUAUCUAAUUCCUAGUUUCUCAGCAUCUAUAAAAUUAUGUCCUUUAUGAUUCAGUAACUACAGAAACUGUAAUCUUACAAGCAUAUCCUCUCUGUACUGGUAUCCUCCUUUAGCUUUUUUCUCAUCUACUUAUUUGUAUCCUAUCAGUAUCGGAACUUCAUAGAAUAGACCUAACAAGUACAACUUCAGAAAGUGCAUCCUGUGUAAAAUUCUCUCAGAAGGAAAAUCUGCAUGUCUGAAGGGCGCAACUGCCAACACUUGAGUUGAUAAUGGCCAUAGCAAAAUAAUGGGCCGAAGAAAACAUUUAAG